GGAGGGAUGGCUGAGUGGUUGAAAGCACCGGUCUUGAAAACCGGCGUAGGUUAAUAGCCUACCUAGGGUUCAAAUCCCUAUCCCUCCGCCA
rnacentral:tRNA from 5 species